UACGUAGGGCGCAAGCGUUGUCCGGAAUUAUUGGGCGUAAAGAGCUCGUAGGCGGCUUGUCACGUCGAUUGUGAAAGCCCGAGGCUUAACCUUGGGUCUGCAGUCGAUACGGGCUAGCUAGAGUGUGGUAGGGGAGAUCGAAUUCCUGGUGUAGCGGUGAAAUGCGCAGAUAUCAGGAGGAACACCGGUGGCGAAGGCGGAUCUCUGGGCCAUUACUGACGUGGAGGAGCGAAAGCGUGGGUAGCGAA
rnacentral:rRNA from 1 species